AUGAUUAAGGCCAUAAGAAAGGUACUUUCGGAGGUUUGGCAUCGUCUUUGCUCGUGGCAUAUUGAGAAGAACAUGCAGAAACACCUUCAUCAUAAGUCUCUAAAGGAGUUCAGGUCUCUACUUUAUUAUGCCACUUCAAAAAAGGUAUUUGAGGAGAGAUGGACAGCGUUUACCGCCAAAUGGCAGUCGGAGAAAACAAAGACAUGGUUACGUAGGAUGUACAAGAAGAAAAGGCUUUGGGCUGCAUCAUAUCUGUCAGGUGGGUUUUUCUUAGGUAUGCGAAGUAACCAGCGACGUGAGAGUCUGAAUUCAUGCCUUCACUUGCAUCUAGACUCCGGUAUGACUAUUGUUGAUAUGAUUGUGCACUAUGAGAACUGCAUAGUUCGUCUCCGUGAGAAUGAGGCGCAUGACGAUUACACAAACUCACAGACAGUUCCAGUACCAGUAUUGGAUGAGUGUAAAGAUAUUGAGAAAUCAGCUGCCCGUGAGUUCACUGCGGCAAACUUUUAUAUCUUGUAG
rnacentral:rRNA from 1 species